rnacentral:rRNA from 1 species
GAUGAACGCUGGCGGCGUGCCUAAUACAUGCAAGUCGAGCGAAUGGAUUAAGAGCUUGCUCUUAUGAAGUUAGCGGCGGACGGGUGAGUAACAUGUGGGUAACCUGCCCAUAAGACUGGGAUAACUCCGGGACACCGGGGCUAAUACCGGAUAACAUUUUGAACCGCAUGGUUCGAAAUUGAAAGGCGGCUUCGGCUGUCACUUAUGGAGGGACCCGCGGCGCAUUAGCUAGUUGGUGAGGUACCGGCUCACCAAGGCAACGAUGCGUAGCCGACCUGAGAGGGUGAUCGGCCACACUGGGACUGAGACACGGCCCAGACUCCUACGGGAGGCAGCAGUAGGGAAUCUUCCGCAAUGGACGAAAGUCUGACGGAGCAACGCCGCGUGAGUGAUGAAGGCUUUCGGGUCGUAAAACUCUGUUGUUAGGGAAGAACAAGUGCUAGUUGAAUAAGCUGACACCUUGACGGUACCUAACCAGAAAGCCACGGCUAACUACGUGCCAGCAGCCGCCGUAA